CCCUGGAGGGGGGGACAACAGUUGGAAACGACUGCUAAUACCGCAUACGAUCCAAUCUCGGCAUCGAGACUGGAUGAAAGGUGGCCUCUAUUUAUAAGCUAUCACUGAAGGAGGGGAUUGCGUCUGAUUAGCUAGUUGGAGGGGUAACGGCCCACCAAGGCGAUGAUCAGUAGCCGGUCUGAGAGGAUGAACGGCCACAUUGGGACUGAGACACGGCCCAG
rnacentral:rRNA from 1 species